AAACAAAAUAUUAUACGAAACAAUGCAUGACAGUAAGACAUUACCAAUCAGUAUACAUCUUCACUGAAAACUUAUCUUAACAACCCAUUAUUUUCAAUUCUGUAUGUUUUUGGUAAUUUUUUUUUCUUUUCUCUGAAUUUUUAUUGCUAUUUAUUAUGCACUUUCUAUCCAUUAUCCCCUUUUCUGUAAAACCAAUCGUUAUCCUUACACCUAUACAAAGAAUUCAGUUAUAAGCUCCAGAGUAUGAAAAACUCGCAUGACAACUCUUUAAAUUGCUAUUUAAUGUUAUUUCCCUCUUGUGAAAUAGCGAAUUCAGAGGAAAAAUGUAUCAAUGAAAAACCCUUUUUUACAAA
rnacentral:lncRNA from 1 species